rnacentral:rRNA from 1 species
UUUUUCGGAGAGUUUGAUCCUGGCUCAGGACGAACGCUGGCGGCGUGCCUAAUACAUGCAAGUCGAGCGGACAGAAGGGAGCUUGCUCCCGGAUGUUAGCGGCGGACGGGUGAGUAACACGUGGGUAACCUGCCUGUAAGACUGGGAUAACUCCGGGAAACCGGAGCUAAUA